AGGACGAACGCUGGCGGCGUGCUUAACACAUGCAAGUCGAACGAGGUGCUUGCACCUAGUGGCGAACGGGUGAGUAACACGUGAGCAACCUGCCCUUGGCUCUGGGAUAGCCUCCGGAAACGGGGAUUAAUACCGGACAUGACCUUCUUCCGCAUGGUGGAGGGUGGAAAGUUUUUCGGCCAGGGAGGGGCUCGCGGCCUAUCAGCUUGUUGGAGGGGUAACGGCCCACCAAGGCGACGACGGGUAGCCGGCCUGAGAGGGCGACCGGCCACACUGGGACUGAGACACGGCCCAGACUCCUACGGGAGGCAGCAGUGGGGAAUAUUGCACAAUGGGGGAAACCCUGAUGCAGCGACGCCGCGUGUGGGAUGAAGGCCUUCGGGUUGUAAACCGCUUUCACCAGGGACGAAGCGAGAGUGACGGUACCUGGGGAAGAAGCGCCGGCUAACUACGCGCCAGCAGCCGC
rnacentral:rRNA from 1 species